AUGGAUAUUUGGAAAUCUGAACUUGGUCCUGGUUAGCUUUUCUAACAUCAGAGUUUAUUUAACUUCGUUCUAAAUGUUAGAAAGAUAUUGAUUAUCCCUUUAAGAUACAUGGCUGAAACAGGGAGGAAUUGCUGAGCCAUCCCAAGAAAAGAUGCCGAUGUGUUAAAAGAAGUGCAGAGUUGGUCCUCUUUUACAUACGCUGAAUCACCUUUUUGGAAUCAAAUCUGAACACUCUACACCUCUAAUGAAUUCACCUUGAAUGAAUCCCUCAGACUUCGAAUAUUGAAGAAACCAGGAGACUUUGAGUUCUAGUUCCAACCGAGGCAUGAAAGCUGCCUGGGUGACUUUGGACCAGUCUCUUUCUCUCAACCCAACUCACUUCACAGGAUUGAAAAGAGGAAGAAGAAGGAAUAUUAGGAUGGUAUCCUCAUUCACACCAUGCCAAUCCUGGGUGAAGUAGGAAUGAAAUGUUGCCAUGGAUACAGGAAGAGACCAUCAUUUGGAUAAGAGACCAUCGAGUUAGAGACACCAUCACAAGAAUGAACCUCCCUGGAGAUCUUGGACCAAUCACUAUAUUCAUAUCUCAUUGAUCUUGUUUCAGGAUUGCUAUAGAAACAACUCUUCGAGGUGGGUCAAAAGGGGUCAAGGACAACUCGACAUGGCCAAAGACUGUAGCUGGUCAAAAGAUGAAGGUGCAGACUGAUACAUGCAAGAUGAUUUGCCCGUUCUUCCAUCACAUGGCAUAACCAGAAUUUUGUGAUUAUGAUUGACUGAAUAUGUGCCAUGAAAUCAUUGUCAAACUCUUAGCAACCACAUCAAUUUUUUUCCAUGACAAUCCUAACCUGGUCUUUCAGGUUGUCCAAGAGUGAACUCCCGGGAGAAGUUUUCAUUUUUAGGUGUGUACCUGAGUGGUGAAAUGAGACACCUAGUUAAUGAUCAGUCACAAAGCACUGAUUGGCUGGGCUCCAGUGUCUAUUAUAGAGAAGAACAUCUGCUUGGUGGCUUCAGUAUUCCACUAUAUAUUUAAACAUGAAAGAAACAGAGGUCUAUAAUUUAAGAAGCGUCCUGUUUAUUGUCUUCACUCUGAAUCUGCAAGCAAGUAUACUGAUAGUCCUCUGAGAAGAUGUCUUUCCUUAUAGCUGGACUCCAUGGAGUAUUGUAACUCCCAGGUGAUGCCCUCUUUCUUUCUAGCGUGGAACCUUAUGGCAGGAAUGGAUCGAAAAUUGAAAAGGAAGUUCUCUCUAAAUUCUAGGCGAUAUAUUUGGACCUCUCCCCAGUGCUGGCUGGCUUGUUUCAACUCUGAACUUCAUUCACGUAGCGGUAAAAAAGUGGUUGGGCAUAGAGCCCCAGCCAUCCUGUCACAGAGAAAAGUAAUGGACAACAGCAGCCCCACAAUCGGUCUGGAACUACAAACUGGCAUGGGAUACUCAGAGUUCAUAUCAAGGGGAGAUGUGAAGACAAACAAACCCCAAAGCUAUGUGUCAACUUCGAACUGAACUUGGCCACAGCCACUUAUGGAAUGCAGAAUCCUCCAUGUUUUCUGAUGCUUAAUUGGGCAAUGGGAUGCCAGCAGAGAAACCAAUAUGCACUGAUGUGGAAGGGAAGUGUUAUGUAUUCUUGUUUGUACC